rnacentral:tRNA from 1 species
GGUGGCUAAGUGGUAGAGUUCUUGCCUUGCAUGCAUGAGACCCUGGGUUCGAUUCCUCAGCACCA